rnacentral:rRNA from 1 species
GACGAACGCUGGCGGCGUGCUUAACACAUGCAAGUCGAGCGGUAAGGCCUUUCGGGGUACACGAGCGGCGAACGGGUGAGUAACACGUGGGUGAUCUGCCCUGCACUCUGGGAUAAGCCUGGGAAACUGGGUCUAAUACUGGAUAUGACCUCAGCAUGCAUGUGCUGGGGUGGAAAGCUUUUGUGGUGCAGGAUGGGCCCGCGGCCUAUCAGCUUGUUGGUGGGGUAAUGGCCUACCAAGGCGACGACGGGUAGCCGACCUGAGAGGGUGACCGGCCACACUGGGACUGAGACACGGCCCAGACUCCUACGGGAGGCAGCAGUGGGGAAUAUUGCACAAUGGGCGGAAGCCUGAUGCAGCGACGCCGCGUGAGGGAUGAAGGCCUUCGGGUUGUAAACCUCUUUCAGCAGGGACGAAGCGUGAGUGACGGUACCUGCAGAAGAAGCACCGGCUAACUACGUGCCAGCCGCCGCCGUAA